UACGUAGGGAGCAAGCGUUGUCCGGAUUUAUUGGGCGUAAAGAGCUCGUAGGCGGCUAAGUAAGUCAGGUAUGAAACCUCCAGGCUCAACCUGGAGACGCCACUUGAUACUGCUUUGGCUUGAGUUCGGUAGGGGUAAGCGGAAUUCCUGGUGUAGCGGUGAAAUGCGCAGAUAUCAGGAGGAACACCAGCGGCGAAGGCGGCGCUCUGGGCCGGUACUGACACUGAGGAGCGAAAGCGUGGGUAGCAAACAGG
rnacentral:rRNA from 1 species